rnacentral:tRNA from 1 species
UUAUACUUUGGUGUAUGAUGCACAAAAGUUUUUGAAACUUUUAGAAAUAGUUUAAUUCUAUUAGGUAUAAAACC